AUCCUCAUCUGGACUCUCCUCUGCUUCACUCAGGGGUCUGUGGGACAAAAUUUUGUGGUGACUCAGCCAGCAGCUAAAUCUGUCCAGCUGGGUCAAACUGCUUCUAUUCCCUGUCAGGCCAGUACAAAGGUUACCCACAACACUGGCUCAAAAUACCUCCUGGCCUGGUACCAUCAGAAAACUGGAGAAGCUCCUAAACUUCUGAUCUACCUAACAUCAGAUAGAAUUUCUGGAAUCUCCUCCAGAUUCAGUGGAAGUGGAGCGGGGAAUGGAGUCGACUUCACUCUGACCAUCAGUGGAGUUCAGGCUGAAGAUGCAGCAGUUUACUACUGUCAGAGUCAUCACUGGAUCAACAGUCAGCAGGUGAUCACACAGUGAAAAAGCGUCGUACAAAAACCUCCCUCAGUCAGCAGAACAGAAACUGAACUGACUGCUGCAGCUGGAAGCUACUGCAGAGACUGACACACUUCACUGGACACACACAUUGUGCAGACAAACUUUGGGUUGUAUUUAUACUAAGACACCUUUUAAUUCAAUGAUCUAUAAGACAUUAAUGUCCUCAACCUCUUUUUAUUUUCCCCUUGGCAGUCUCUCACACAUUUUAGUAGAUUAAACCUGUCAAACAUCACAGUAACAUUAUAUAUAUUUUUAUCAGCCCAUAAUCUGAUCAUGAACUGCAGUAGAUUAUAUGUACAAUCACUAUGUCCCUUUUAAAUUAACAGAAAACAUCUCUUUCAUACUUUUAAA